rnacentral:tRNA from 1 species
UCUCCUGUGGCUCAGUGGUAGAGCGUUCGACCGGUGUGUGGAAGGUCAUAGGUUCGACUCCUGUUGGGAGAA